rnacentral:rRNA from 1 species
GAUGAACGCUGGCGGCGUGCCUAAUACAUGCAAGUCGAGCGAAUGGAUUAAGAGCUUGCUCUUAUGAAGUUAGCGGCGGACGGGUGAGUAACACGUGGGUAACCUGCCCAUAAGACUGGGAUAACUCCGGGAAACCGGGGCUAAUACCGGAUAACAUUUUGAACCGCAUGGUUCGAAAUUGAAAGGCGGCUUCGGCUGUCACUUAUGGAUGGACCCGCGUCGCAUUAGCUAGUUGGUGAGGUAACGGCUCACCAAGGCAACGAUGCGUAGCCGACCUGAGAGGGUGAUCGGCCACAGUGGGACGGAGACACGGCCCAGACUCCUACGGGAGGCAGCAGUAGGGAAUCUUCCGAAAUGGACGAUAGUCUGACGUAGCAACGCCGCGUGAGUGAUGACGGAUUUCGUGUCGUAAAACUCUGUUGUUAGGGAAGAACAAGUGCUAGUUGAAUAAGCUGGCACCUUGACGGUACCUAACCAGAAAGCCACGGCUAACUACGUGCCAGCCGCCGCAGUAA